rnacentral:rRNA from 1 species
CCCUUAGAUGUUCUGGGCCGCACGCGCGCUACACUGAUGCAUUCAACGAGCCUAUCCUUGACCGACAGGUCCGGGUAAUCUUUGAAUCUGCAUCGUGACGGGGAUAGAUUAUUGCAAUUAUUAAUCUUCAACGAGGAAUGCCUAGUAGGCGCAAGUCAUCAGCUUGCGUCGAUUACGUCCCUGCCCUUUGUACACACCGCCCGUCGCUCCUACCGAUUGGGUGUGCUGGUGAAAUGUUCGGAUCGGCCUUUUGUCGCGGUUUCCGCGUCAUGUGGCUGAGAAGUUCAUUAAACCCUCCCACCUAGAGGAAGGAGAAGUCGUAACA